rnacentral:rRNA from 1 species
UACGUAGGGGGCUAGCGUUGUCCGGAAUCAUUGGGCGUAAAGAGCGCGUAGGCGGCUGGAAUAGUCCGGUGUGAAAUCCACAGGCUUAACCUGUGAAUGCCGCUGGAAACUGUCUGGCUAGAGUCCGGAAGGGGCGAGUGGAAUUCCUGGUGUAGCGGUGAAAUGCGCAGAUAUCAGGAGGAACACCAAUUGCGAAGGCAGCUCGCUGGGACGUUACUGACGCUGAGACGCGAAAGCGUGGGGAGCAAACAGG